rnacentral:misc_RNA from 1 species
ACAGGAACAAGAUACAGUCGCGCGGGUGGUUUGGAACUUUUAUUAGGUGCUUACUGCCUCAAGAGGAUAACGCAGUAAACAUGUGUGAUGACGGAAGUAGGUAUACCAAAAGAAGCCGAGUUUGUUAACAUGGAAGAAUCAGAUGUGCAUGUUAAACGCCAAGAUGUGUCUGGUGAACUAGUGGAUAGUGACAUGGAUGGUGACAUGAGUAGGUUGUGCAAAGUUGGUCGAGUUGAGAAGGUGUUGACGGACUUUUGUGAAGGGGAUGACAAAGGGCAGGUGAGAGAGUCCAUCUGUUCCAAAAAUGCACAUGAGGUCAGCUCGAAUCUGUCAUCGGGAACCGAACUGAGGGCGUGCAAUGAAGGCGUUGACAUUCGCCUUCCACGGUGCGUUCGGAACGUAAGUGUUCCUGGAGGCAUUAAAGUCACCAACAACAUCGUUACAGUUUCAAAACGGUUCUUAUACUUACUGUCAAUGAGUACCGGCUGUCUACGAGGCCGUGAUUUUUUGGCUGAGCUACGUGAACAUUUGUCAGAAGACGGCCUCCGUGCGGAAUUUGAUAAUGCUACGGCUAGAUAUCUGAACAGGGUGCUGAAAGCGAUCCACGACAAUUUGAGGACUCGCUCCGAAGGCGGGCGCCUUUAUUGUGUGGCACGAUACCAAAAAUUCUUUGUUCAGUUCCGAUGCUACUGGAGGGCUCCGGACGCAAAUCACGGCGGCAUCCGUGAAGUGGCCUCCGAACGGCUCACUGUGCCGAUGCAAGGUACGACCUUUGGCAAGGAUAGCCUGGAGGAGGACGAUGAGCCCCCAGAGUUCAUAGGCCCUGACGAUGGCGAUGAAGUCAACUGGCGAGCGUUGAGUGAAACCACUAGCCAUCAAUCGUUGUGCACCAGUGAGAUGGAUGAGAGUAGCGGUGAGCAAUUGGAAAAUCGCUCUGAGAGCUUUGGCGUGUCUACUGAAGGAAUGCGUUGCAUUAUUCAGUCAGAAAGUUGUGCACCGUCUGUGAAACCUGUUACUGGUGAGCCAUCAGACGUGGAGAUAGUUAACGAGCUGGCGUGCAUCAAAGAGGAGCCAGUCAGUGAGUCCACAUGUAGGGAAAAAUCUGAUGAGAUUACCUUGUGCACGGAGCAAGCGAACACAGCGAGGGAACAUGCAGUUACCAACAAUUCGCUAGGUACCAUCGCACAACCAUCUGAUGUCGUCCUCCCGCGCUCUCUGAAUGAAGACCUGAAAAUUGCCGGUGGCAUCCGUAUCGAUAACGAUGUUGUCACCGUCUCCAAAGGAUACCUUUUCUCACUGGCAGUGCGUGACUCUCUAUGCACGCCGCGAUGGUGCAUCAAUGUUCUUUGUAAGCACCUAUCACAAAUGCGGAAUGGCCUACGCGCUGAACUGGACGCGUGCACGAAAAGUUUUCUGCGCAAGUUUUUCCAGCAAACCUUGCGGUGGCGACGACCGGCGCCUAGCUACUUUCCGAAGCACAGAAGAGCUGCCUUAGAUCACAAAUACUGCCAAUUCUCUUGUGUGUGGAAGGAUAGUUCGCUGGAGGAGAGCACUCCGGAUACUGUCGAACGGCAGGGUGAUGAACCCGGACGAGGCAAGCACAGUGCGCCACCCAGGCGCUCCCAAAGAGAUCGCAAGACGCAAGAACCAUGGCUGUCGCUGCCGAAGCCGACCGAUUUCGAAACAAUCGUCAAACCCAGAAAACGGCGACAAGUUCCCAAAGUCAAGCAAGUCAAGCCUGUCCGUCGAGGACCUGGACGUCCAAAGGUAGAAAUGGAAUCUCUUCCGAAUGGGUUCGGCGGAACUCAUCCCCGUUCAUCGAUGAAAGUCACAAAGGGCGGCUCAGUGGUGACUUAUCUGCGCAGAGACCGCGGCGAAACCGUUCUCGGCGGUGGAUCUCUUCGGCUGGACGUGGAGAGGAGGUUCGCGACUGAGGAUCCUCUGGAAAUCUCUCCCAGCGCUACGGACCCGGCCAUCAAUAGCGCUGCCACUGUUCCAGACGGUUCAGCCGCAGGUAACCCGGCGCAGGACAACUCAGUGGCGACUCAUCAACGAAGAGACCACGGCGAAACCGUGCUCGGCAGUGAGUCUUUUCUGCAGCACGAAGAGAAAGAAGCGUUUUCGACCGGGGAUCCUCUGGAAAUCUCUUCCAGCGCUACGGACAUGGCUAUCGACAGCGCUGCCACUGUCCCAGAAGGUGUACCCGCAGAUCUGCCUCUUAAAAUCCUGGGGAAGUCUGGCCAGCUCCUAGACUGCCGAGCUCGUCGUUUGGUGAAUGCUGAGGGCGGCUCCCUGCUUGCUGUUCUGAUGCCGGUCGCAACAUUUAGUGUCACAGCCGGCUCUGACGACACCCUCAGCCCGUCGGCAGGCAUCGCCACGUCAACCGAAUCUGAUCCUGCGAGCGAGCUCUCGAUCGAAGAGCCAUCGGCGACAGAGGAGCCGUUCUACUCACGAGUCAAGGCGGUGCCAUGUGGCCCAUCAGAUCCUCGCAUACCUACCAUCAAACGUGGCCGACGAAGAAGAGCCAAGUGAAGGAGAUGCUUUCAAAUCGCAUGCGGCUACUGCGAUCACUUCGUGAGUACGUUUCGACUCAAGCUGACAUAAUGUGUGAUGUGUAUCACUUCGAGGCAAUUCGCAGCGCCCAGAACGUCAUUUCGUACGUCAAGGAGUCCCUGAUGAAAUCCGGUUACUCCUUGCUGUGUGAGGGUGCGGUGCAACUGGCGCAAUCAUUACUUCAAGAUUUUUAAGGCCGCCAGCGUGGGACCAAAUGGAUAGCCAGGCAGACUGCGAAUGUGACAAUGGCUCGGGCAGUGGCACAAAGAGGCACUGGAAGGAGAGGACACCGGGUGUUACGCCCGACUUCGGUUAACUGCUCAGUGCUCAGAUCCCCCAAAUGCCAAUGCCUUAUUUUAGUUAGCGGUAUGAUUGAAAUGGAUCGUAAUGUGUGAACCUGUUGUGAACGUGCGGGUGUUGGAGUACCCGAUGCUGCUAUUGUGUUUUAUGAUGGGAUGGGUAAUUACGUUGUGAAUGAGAUAUUAACGUGUUAAGAGCGAAGGAAGGAUAGUGGAUGGUGCAGUUCAUUUAUGAAGAAUCAUUUUGUUUCACUGGCAACGUUAGUGAAUGACAGCCACUAAGUAAGGUUCCAUGGUUUUGCGACAAGAUGCACUUUCAGUGGUGUUUGACUUUUUUAGGAAUAAGAACUGUUGAUAACUGUUUGGCUUAAAAUAUACUUUAUCUUUGUCAUAUUACUGUUACUUGUUUACCAUGUUAACGAUGGUCCCGAUUUGUUCUCGCUUCUAAAAUGAUCAUCAUUGAAAACAUCACAAAAGAAGCAGUGGAGCAGCUGAAGCGAGAGAAGCAGCAGUUCUGCAGUUCUCAACCUUCUACUAAAAUCGUUCUAGAAAUGUCCAGAAUCGUUUUCCGGCCUCCUGGUAAUUUUUGUCCAUUCUGAAGUUGGACACAUGGUUCAGAGAUUCUUUUUUCAUAAAAUUGCUUAUGAUGCACACGGGCGAGGGUUCUGCCUUCCGUCACUCUUACGGUAAUUGAUCGUGGUAAAGCCGUGAGUGGUGUCUUGUUCACUGAUUCGAAGAGCAUUAAAAAUGAACGCCAAUCACCUUUUAAUUCUGCAAGUUUCAAGGUCUCGCUGGGACAUCGUUAGCGUGCAUCUACAUGUAGUUACAUUAUGUGCUGUGCCUCUCGUGGGGGCUAACUCAUUGUUAUUUUUUUUAUUGAUCGCCCUGUAGUUAUAAAUGAACCUCAAUUGCGUUAUGCUUGAUGACUGCAAUAGACUUCAACGAAUGUG